UUCCCCACCCCCCAACAUGGCUGCACUGAAGCGUGAGCCUCAGCCUCAGUGUUUGUAGGGAAUGAUCAUAUUUUAACCCUAGCAGGGUGCCACUGCACCUUGACUCCAAACUUGAGGUGUUCCAGAGGGUCCUUGAGCGCUGCCAUUCGAGAGGCUACCAUUUAGGUCCAUGGCUUUCUCCGUGCACAGGAAAGGGCACUCUGUGAGGUUCUACAAGGUGACUCUCUGCCUAGCUUUACCGGCACCAGGCAAGUUCGAACCCAGGGACUUAAACACUCCAAAUGUGCACCCAGCUACGCCUACAGCUGGCCCUGUGGCAUUACUAUGAUGCCAUCAUCAUUUCAAAGGGUGGCCACCAUAUGACUGAUUUGGCUAACUCUAAUAGGGGUUCUGACCUCACUCUCGGGCCUUUGGUGUGGGGAAAGAGCCUGCAGCCAGGACAGCUACUGCUUGAGGUCACUAAGGAGAGCGUUUCUGUGGGCAGGGGAAAGAUCUGUGUGCGGCACUGGCUGGGGAAUUCAGCUGGAAGAUGGAGGAUUUCCAAGGUGAGAAAAUGGAGGCCUGGAGAACUGAAGAGCCUGUCCAAGACCAGCUAAUGAUCAAGGCACAGAGUGAGAGUGCUUCCUUCCCCUUGGCCCCUCACCUUCCCCUUUGGAAUGCUCACAGCCACCGAGAUCUGCUUCCCACCGUACAGGAGGCUCUCCUCUUCCUGGCCACCCUGAAGGUCCAACUCCCUUCAGAAUGCUCUGGUGACAUUAAAACUCAGAUGUCCUUCGGAACAGAGACCUGCAUGAAUCCUGUACUCGCCGGUGCUGAGGUGGGGGUGGGGAAUGGGGCUGGGGCAUGACCUCAAAGACUACCACACAGCCCCCAGAAGUGGCUUCACUACAGCACCCAGCCUUGUGGAGACCCCCAUCUUUCACUGGCUGACACAGUGCAGGAGCGCUGCCUUCCCAGGCUGUUUAUUGCUUUAAUGUGUCAGCGUGGGUAACAGAACGCAGGCAAGGAAGGCUUAAUUAUAAAAAGGAAUCU
rnacentral:lncRNA from 1 species